AAAAUGGAAGAAUAUUCUAAUAGUGAUCUUGAAGAUUAAACAUGUAAUAAUUAAUACCUUGGGCUUAGAAAGAACCAAAUUUAGUGUCAUGCAAGUUUGUAAGUUUUGGGUGAACUUCAAACGAUCAUAACUUUUAGCACAUGAUGUUUUACGUGGAUCAUGAGGUAUCAAAUCAAAGGUCGUUGAGUCCUCUUUCCAACGCCACUGAAUUUGCUAAAUUCUGAGUUUGGAUGAAGGAGAUAUGCCCAUUUGAGUACAACCUCUCUAGAUAUAACUGUUUAUCCAUUUAAAGGAGGGAUAUUUUGGUAUUUUCCUUACCCCGUUAAGCCCACACAUUUUGACUCGCCCAAAUAGAGAUCUAAGCGGAUUGAUUUCAGUUUUUAAUCUCUCAAAAAAAAAUGUUUAAGCAAGUUAGGGAAAGCUCAAAAGGAAAAGGGGUCAAGAAGUUCUUCAAGGUUUUUGGGGAAAUUGUCAACAACGUGGUUCUUUCAAGGCUGGAGAUGCUCCUAUUGAAGCAGAAGGAAGUUUAGUUGUUGAUGAAGAAGUUUAGUUGUUGAUGAAGAAAGGAUGUUGACGAUUGGAACAUAUCAAAAAAACAGGUCCAACGAAGCUGACUGACGAGUUUAUAACACUGUUGUAGAGUUAAAGUUGCACUAGAAUUAGACUACUUAUAUUAGGAUUAGAAUUAUAUUACGACUAGGAUUAAAUUACUAUCAGAAUUAUAGUACAACUAGAGUUUAGAUUUAUUAUUAUUAUAGUAAUAAUAGGUAUUUUAGUAGGAACCUAAGUACUGUUAACUUAUGACUCUACAAUUCUCUCCUAUAUAAGGAGUAUGUACUUAACAUUAUUUUUCCUCAAUACAAUCAAUAUAUUCCUUGAUUUCUCUAAUCCUAAAUGUGAUAUUUCUACAUGGUAUCAGAGCUUAAAAGCUUUCCGUUCUCAGAGUAUUGAUUAAAAAAAAUCACAUGUUGCAAUGACCCCUUCUACCAAAACCAUGUCAACCUCCUCACUUCACCAAAUAAUUGUCGCUUGCUCCACUAAACUUACUACCUCAUAAAGAGGACACAUAUAUCCCAAUUGAUUCAUAUCACAGAGAGUGAACCAAGUAAAAGUUGUUGUUCCACUGUACAAACUAUUGGAAAGUUGUAGCUGCUAAGAAGGAUGUAAAAGAUAGUGACACUAUUGAUGAUUGGAAAGAGAAAGAUGUGUUUUUAAGAAGUUGAAUCUCAAGCACCUUAACUGAUGCUCAACUGCCAAGGAGAUGUGGGAAUGCUUGGAAGAAACUUAUCUUCAAGUAACAAAAGCGAUUAAUUUUGCUAGAGGUGUAGGUAAGUCACCAUAUCCCACCCUUAAUUAAUUUGUUAAUGCUCUUACAGGCUUUGAUAUAAGGGAAGAGGAAGAAAAAGUAUCACAACAAAACCAUUACAUGGUAGUAUCUGCCCAAAAAGGCUGGGGAAGAGGAAACAACAACAAUAACAUACCAAACCAUUGACAGAACAAGUUUUUGUUGGAUAUUCAAAGUUUUUUUUGCUGGAUAUUCAAAAACAACAUCAUCAAUAUAUCGAAGCAUUGACAAAACAAGUUUUGCUGGGUAUUCAAAGUUUUUUUUGUGCUGGAUAUUCAAAGCAAACAAGCUAGGAGUAACCGUUCAUCUACUCACUAGCUUGAAGGGAAGUGUUGAAAAAGAAGGAAGUUGACGAUUAGAACAUAUCAAAGGAACAUGUCCAAUGCAUCUGACUGAUGUUUCUGCAGCAAGUGUUGAUGAAGAAAGGAAGCUGAUGAUUGGAACAUGUCCAACAAAUCUGACUGACGAAUUUACAACACUACUGUAGAGUUAGAGUCGCACUAAGAUUAGACUACUUAUAUUAGGAUUAGAAUUAUAUUACGACUAGGAUUAGAUUACUAUCAGAAUUAUAGUACAACUAGGAUUUAGAUUAUUUAUAAUUGCAUUAUUAUUAUUAUUAUUAUAGUAAUAAUAGGUAUUGUAGUAGGACUCGAAGUAUAGUUAAUUAUGAUUCUACAAUUCUCCUCCUAUAUAAGGAGUAUGUACUUAACAUUGUUUUUCAUUAAUACAUCAAUACAAUUAAUACAAUCCUUAAUUUCUC